rnacentral:lncRNA from 1 species
CACGCUCGCCGGCGAUCGGAGUCACCAGAUUUUGUUGCAGAAAAACCUUUCUUUUUGUCAUUUUUCCGACGCCGGUGGUCACCGCCGACCAUCGGUUUGGCCCUCCUCUUACCGUCGGGUCGCCUCUCCUCCUGCCGACGGUCGCCCCACGCCGGUUGCACCGUCGGCCGGCCAGCCAAGGAGGGGACUUGCCGGUCCCCUGUUUCGGUCAAAAUAAGCCCGGGAAGAAGAAAAGAAGAAGAAGAAGAAGGAAAAGAAAAAGAAAAGAAAAAGAAGAAAAAGAAAAAGAAAAAAAAAAAAAAGAAAGAAAAAAGAAAAAAA